CAGCUUUUAUAAUUUGUUAUAGGUAUCUUGGGCACUGAUAAAAAAAAAUUAAUUAAGACUUAAAAUACAAUAAGUAAUCAUAAAAGAUCCCAAUAAUGUUAAUUAUUUCCAAAGGGCAAUAAAAAUGUAAGACCUAGAAAUUAUGAUUUGCAGAUAUUAAUUCAAUUGUUUAGUUAUUAUUAUUAUAAAUUAUGCACCACUAA
rnacentral:misc_RNA from 1 species